ACAGCAGCAGCCGCGGGAAUACGGAGGGUGCAAGCGUUAUCCGGAUUUAUUGGGUUUAAAGGGUCCGUAGGCGGAUCUGUAAGUCAGUGGUGAAAUCUCACAGCUUAACUGUGAAACUGCCAUUGAUACUGCAGGUCUUGAGUAAAUUUGAAGUGGCUGGAAUAAGUAGUGUAGCGGUGAAAUGCAUAGAUAUUACUUAGAACACCAAUUGCGAAGGCAGGUCACUAAGAUUUAACUGACGCUGAUGGACGAAAGCGUGGGGAGCGAACAGGAUUAGAUACCCGCGUAGUCCCUGUCUCUUAUCC
rnacentral:rRNA from 1 species